AUUCGAAUGGUAAACUUAGGUUUGCAAUAGAAAAGCCAAAAUUGCACAAUGCCUAGGAUAGAACAAGCGAUUCUUGCUGUCCUAUGGAAAUCCUGUCCGAUCCGUUUCUGCAUUCCAGUCCAACGCUAUCGAUCGUCCCAAAGCUGGAUCGCUUUUCCCACCAGUAACCGACUGAACUUUUCUGCUUUCACAACUCGACGUUCUCGAUAGUCUGAUGACAAUUCUCUGUCUUGUUUACAUUGAUUUUCCGCGUUAUUUUUGAGUGAAAUCUACCAAUUUUGUGAGACUGAUUGAACUUACGCAAAAGGACCUGAGAAAUUGUAUAUCUUUGAUUGUUUUUCCGCCAACACCUGUGCGGAAUUAGAUCAUUUAAGUUGUUGGCAUUGAAGAGAAGGAAACAUGACUUAAGUCGCUUCAAUUCGUUGAGAUCCAGAUUGUGUUGAAAGGUAUUGCUGAGCCAGGAGUAUAAAUCAAGAAUUGUCAGAAAAAGAGUAUGAGAAAAAGUGCUCUUAGCACCAAGAGCGACAAAGUCUACAAUCCGAAUAACCUAGAGCUAACUGGUAAUAGAAUUAUACUCUUGUCGCCUGAAAAACCCAAAGCCAAAUAUCAACCAUCUAAAGCUGUAAGUCGAAGAGCUCUUAAAAUCGACUCUAUUGAGCAGCAGCAGGCAGUAUCGCUUAUCGUCCACAAACCUUGUCAGCCUCGCGGAAAGUCACCAAAAGUUCAAACUUACAAAAAUUCUCUGAAAACUUCGGUAACUGAGUAUACCAACUCGGAAGUUUCCAAUAAGUUUCUAAAGCAGAUAAGGGAAACAUCGACAGUUAAGGACUUUGAGAAGCUUCUUCAGAGCCUUUGGCAGAGUGACCAGUUUUUAAGCAACAAGAGCUUUCUGAAGAGAAAUAAAAGAGAUAAAAUCCUGGAACGUUUGGAUGAAGAAGAUUUGUACGAAGAGUUUUUCGGAAAGUAUUUUGAUUAUUUAUCCAACGUGGUAAAUAAAUCCAGAUGUGAAGAAUCUCAGCUGUGAGAAGGUUGUAGUUCUAGAAAAGUAAUUGGAUUUUUUAAGUUUUAAGGUGUUUCGUAUUUAUAUGCAGUUUGUGUUGAAUGUAAAUGCACGAAUUUCUCGCCAGAAACAUACGUAUCUAAAAUUGCCUUUAUAGUAGAAGAAAACCACCGCCUUUGCGCUUUUUACAUUUGAAUCUAAAGUUCUGUGAUAUUUACAGGGUGUACUGUUCGAAAGUCUGCACUCUAAUCACUGCUUUUUAUAUAUUUACAAAGUCAAAGCUCUACAUAUACAUGCUCCGAAUUUCUUUGCAAAUUCAUGCGGCUUAAUCAACCUUGUUGCUUCGCUAAUUGGUGAUACGGAAAACAUUAACAUACUGCUUGAUUCGCGAUUUCCUCAAACAGUCGCAGACUAUUAGUGUACGUGAACAGUCAAUCGUGCGAAGACAGUAACUUCAGUACGCACUAGUGAAUGAACAGAGGUCGAAAAACAUUCGAAAAUAGGCCGGCCUUCGUCGCAAUAAGUGCAUAUUUACAUACAUCUAAAAGUGAGAGGACCCAUUUUAUGAAUCCGGAAUAGGUGUCGGAAAUCAAAUACAAAACAGUACUCUCGUAAUAAAAUAAAGUGCCGCUUUUAGAUUGUGUCAAAAAGUUGGAAACAUUUCGGCCAAAACGGCUCCGAGUCAAUCCAGCAUGGAGUGCCGCGUGCCUCCAGCUCCUUCCGCACCCCCACAAAUAAAGUCGAGAGAGCUCGAUCGAAAAGUUUUAAGAGAAACUCUUUAUUCUGAAAUUUUCCAAAGGCAUAGAAGGUCCAUAUUCGCUCUUGGCUCCUUCUUGAGAAUGCUGAAAACGAAGAAGUCCAACUACAACGUUAUAAAGCAGGAAGGAGAAUCGGAAACUGAAUAGCAUUUACUUUUGUGGUUAAGUGAUAUUGCGGAAAGUCCAGGGACCAAAGCUGACCAGUGAACCGGCCCAUUGCGACCUCCAUUUGUUCAGAAUAUGGUCGUGUAAUAAGUAAUAAUCGGAUAAAACGUAUAUUACAAGAUGAAAGCAAAUGUAUCCGCAAAUAGUCGUAUUACGAUGCAUUUAACUUAUUUUCUUAGAGAAAUAGACUCUCUAAAUGCAAUUGUAAUUAGCAAUGCGAUGUGACGUUCUUUUAAGUUUUUCAUAUAGUUUUCCAACAAAAUAGUAUAUUUCUAUUUAAAUUGGUUUGUUUCAAAAUAUUAAAUUUAACUAUGCUGGACAUAAGUUAUGGGCUUACUAAGACCGCACUGAUUAGCCAUUUUUUAUAUUUCAAUCAACAAGUAACAAACUUAUAACGCUCUUCUGAGCUCUGAACAGUUUAAGCAUUUGGUCACUUUGUAAAAAGCUCAGACACAUGCCUUAAAAUAUGUGCUUUUAUUGCACCUUUUUAUAUGAAUAUUGUAGAUUUAAAAAAAGAGCAUGUGCAUGUUUUAUUCAAUUCACUGAACCUUGCCCUGGAGAUUUUAAUUAUUAAAAAUAGAGUCUGUUAUGUUUUGUCAAUUUAGUAUAAAUUAAGUCUUGAUAUGUUUGUGCCAAAUCAAUCGGGAUUGAUAAUUAGGCACUAAUUAAAGGGAAAAGGGUUGAAAAACUCGAUUCAGUUUAUUAGCGGAUGUUCAAAUUAGAUGCCUCUCCUCUAUGAAGUUAAAUUGUUUUAUAUUGCUUGUGGUCUAAAAUUAUUUUUAAACUUGUUUGAAUUUACCUACCUGCAAGUACCGAAUUUAUUAUGGCUGAAUGGUUCUUACUGGGUAUAUAUUGCCUAAUACAGAACUGUUAAAUGAAAAAAAAAACUAUAUGGGUAUGUGAGUGAUCAAUAAUUAAGUUACUUUUUUGUCCGCUUGGAAUCAUUGAAUUCUACUAUUUUCCUCUAAAAACUAUGACAAAACUAAAGAAUUUCACCCAAUUUGCAAACGAAACAAUAAAAAAUUUACAGAUCUCUUAUUAUUUGAGGUUCGUAUACUCAACAGUUAAUCAAUCAUUGUUCCAAUGCUUUUCUUGUAUAUAUAUAUUGUCGUUUAGAUUAAAAUAAUUUUUGAUACCCUGUAUAGACAUAGAUAUACGUAAUUAUUAUUAAGAUCUACUUACGCCAUAUCUAGCAAAGUCGUAGUAUACUAGCUCUUUGUGUAUAUUCUGCAUUUUAUAACAAAUAUAUUGUUUUUUUUACAUA